AACGAACGCUGGCGGCAGGCUUAACACAUGCAAGUCGAGCGCCCCGCAAGGGGAGCGGCAGACGGGUGAGUAACGCGUGGGAAUCUACCCAUCUCUACGGAAUAACGCAUGGAAACGUGUGCUAAUACCGUAUACGUCCUUCGGGAGAAAGAUUUAUCGGAGAUGGAUGAGCCCGCGUUGGAUUAGCUAGUUGGUGGGGUAAAGGCCUACCAAGGCGACGAUCCAUAGCUGGUCUGAGAGGAUGAUCAGCCACACUGGGACUGAGACACGGCCCAGACUCCUACGGGAGGCAGCAGUGGGGAAUAUUGGACAAUGGGCGCAAGCCUGAUCCAGCCAUGCCGCGUGAGUGAUGGAGGCUCUAGGGUUGUAAAGCUCUUUCACCGGUGAAGAUAAUGACGGUAACCGGAGAAGAAGCCCCGGCUAACUUCGUGCCAGCAGCCGCCGUAAGAC
rnacentral:rRNA from 1 species